rnacentral:lncRNA from 1 species
CCGGGGGUUCAGAAGGCCUUUAAUCCCAGCACUUGGGAGGCAGAGGCAGAGAGAGAGGCAGAGAGGAGGCAGAGAGGAGGCAGAGAGGAGGCAGAGAGGAGGCAGAGAGGCAGAGAGGAGGCAGAGAGGAGGCAGAGAGGAGGCAGAGAGGAGGCAGAGAGGAGGCAGAGAGGAAGCAGAGAGGCAGAGAGGCAGAGAGAGAGGCAGAGAGGCAGAGGCAGAGGCAGGAGAAUCUCUGAGUUUGAGGCCAGCCUGGUUUACAGAGCCAGUUCCAAGAUAGGCAGGGCUACACAGAGAAACCCUUUCCUGCCCCCCAUACCUCCAUAUACAUCUCUAAUCUUAUUGGAUUUACAAAUUCCCAUCAGAACAUUCUCUUAAGCUUCGUUUAUGACAUUCUAAAUCCUCUCAUAUUCUUUCUUUGAAUGAGUCCCAAAGCCCUAAGAACCAGUUGGUCAAGUUUGUCUCAGAAAUAACUGUGCCCUUGGUAUUAGCCUUCCAUAUUAGUAGCUUUUCUCAUUGUUACAACACAG